rnacentral:rRNA from 1 species
UGCGUAGGGUGCGAGCGUUAUCCGGAAUCAUUGGGCGUAAAGAGCUCGUAGGCGGUUCAACAAGUCGGCUGUGAAAGUCCGGGGCUCAACCCCGGAAUUGCAGUCGAUACUGUUGUGACUUGAGUCCGGUAGAGGAGAAUGGAAUUCCCGGUGUAGCGGUGGAAUGCGCAGAUAUCGGGAGGAACACCAGUAGCGAAGGCGGUUCUCUGGGCCGGCACUGACGCUGAGGAGCGAAAGCGUGGGGAGCAAACAGGAUUAGAUACCCGUGUA